AACAGAUCCAAUGAGGCAAAAGUACUGCCGCACUGGGAUGCCUCUUCUAUCACGCUUUGUGUUUGAAUGUUGGGUGUAGUACUUGGAGGCCUGCAGAGACUGAUGCUGUUGAUAGAUGUCAUCUCUUGUGAGCGCCAGUUGGCCAAGCUUCCUCGGAUGUGAACCACGUAUAGGCAGCCCCUGACAGUCUCACAACAGAGUGGUUUCAAAAUGGAACAAUAAUUUUCUGGAAACUCCACCUCACCCUGUAAAAGUGAAGAUUGGGUGAGUUGACUAGAGUGUCUUGGCAAAGGACAAAAACAUGAAAUAACCAGUUCAAAGUCACCUCUCAUGUCUUAGAUAGAGCCUCAGCUGCCUCUGUCUUUGAAAUUCUUCAUUUACUAGGCAGGGUCAGCCCCUCUCAGAGCUGAGCGUUUCACAGGAUGAAGGUAAAAUGACACAUGAAAUGACGGCACUUAAGCACUGCUGUUUCCUGAGUGUACGUUGUGCAUAGUAUGAGAAGUUAUUUCUCAUAAGGACAAUCUUUAACUUAAGCAACAUGUCCUGAAGAUGUCUUACAAGGGCAAUCAAGACAUAGCCAGGGGGCUAAGUGGGAGGAAGUUAUAAUGUACAAGGUGAGUCUUUGGAGACUCUGAAAAACCCAUUAACGGAAAAGUUAUUAAUGUCUUUUUUAAUGCAGCUAUAGUGCAGAGGCAGACCCCAAAGAAACCAAUCCACAUUAUGAAACAUUUUACAGAAAUCCACUUUUAAAAAUAGGAGAACGCUAUACAUGAAGUCUUGAGGUGGGAACUGAGUACAUGCCUGGCCUCCUGGGCCAGUUGUGGAUUUUCUAAAGAAUAAAAGGAAAUUCUACUUUCACCUCUACUUUGAGACAGAGAAAUAGAACAAAAUUGCCCACUGUAAAAUUUGAUUAUCAUUUUUAUUUCUCUUUCUCAGAUUUAAUUUUCUUUCUUUCUCUUUUGUACUUUCCCUAAUCAACUCUAAUAUCUUCAGGCCUCUGUUAACUUGAAUUCAGCUUUAAACAUAUCAGGUUAUUAAAACUUCAUCAGGUAUGGCUAUGAUGCCCAGUCAGGUGAGUUUCUCUACAAACGGUGGUGGAACUCUGGUCCCAUGAAUAAGAUGCCUCUGUCCUAUUGUCAGAAGGGAAUAAACUUGGAUAUUUUUUUCUCCUUUAGAGGUUGACAGAUUUGCAUUCAUUUCCAUUAGACUAAGAGCUCUUGGUAAACAUAAACUGGGUCUUGUUUAUCUUUAUAUCCCUUUCUCAUAGCACAGACCUGGUACACAGUAG
rnacentral:lncRNA from 1 species